rnacentral:rRNA from 1 species
GAUGAACGCUGGCGGCGUGCUUAACACAUGCAAGUCGAACGGAACUGUUUGAAUGAAGUUUUCGGAUGGAUUUUAAACAGUUUAGUGGCGGACGGGUGAGUAACGCGUGGGUAACCUGCCUCACACUGGGGGAUAACAGUUAGAAAUAGCUGCUAAUACCGCAUAAGCGCACAGCUCCGCAUGGAGCAGUGUGAAAAACUCCGGUGGUGUGAGAUGGACCCGCGUCUGAUUAGCUAGUUGGUAAGGUAACGGCUUACCAAGGCAACGAUCAGUAGCCGACCUGAGAGGGUGACCGGCCACAUUGGGACUGAGACACGGCCCAA